GAUGAACGCUGGCGGCGUGCCUAAUACAUGCAAGUCGAGCGCGAGAAUGAGGAGCUUGCUCCUCAUGAUCGAGCGGCGGACGGGUGAGUAACACGUAGGCAACCUACCCUUGAGAUUGGGAUAACUACCGGAAACGGUAGCUAAUACCGGAUACGACUUUUCCACAUAAGUGGAAUUGUUAAAAGGCGGAUUUAUCUGCCGCUCAUGGAUGGGCCUGCGGUGCAUUAGCUAGUUGGUGAGGUAGUGGCUCACCAAGGCGACGAUGCAUAGCCGACCUGAGAGGGUGAUCGGCCACACUGGGACUGAGACACGGCCCAGACUCCUACGGGAGGCAGCAGUAGGGAAUCUUCCGCAAUGGACGCAAGUCUGACGGAGCAACGCCGCGUGAGUGAUGAAGGGUUUCGGCUCGUAAAACUCUGUUGUUAAGGAAGAACACUUGAGGUAGUAACUGGCCUUGAGAUGACGGUACUUAACCAGAAAGCCACGGCUAACUACGUGCCAGCCGCCGCGGUAA
rnacentral:rRNA from 1 species